rnacentral:rRNA from 1 species
AUUGAACGCUGGCGGCAUGCUUUACACAUGCAAGUCGAACGGCCGCGCGGGCUUCGGCCUGGCGGCGCGAGGCGCACGGGGGUGUAAUGCAUCGGAACGUGCCCAGGUGACGUGGCUAGCACGGCGAAAGCCGGAUUAAUACCGCAUACGACUUGAGCGUGAUAGCGGGGGACCGAAAGGCCUUGCGUUAUAGGAGCAGUCGAUGUCCGAUUAGCUGGUUGGUGGGUUAAAGACUUACCAAGGCGACGAACCGUAGCUGGUCUGAGCGGAGGACCAGCCACACUGGGACUGGGACACGGCCCAGACUCCUACGGGAGGCAGCGGAGGGGAAUUUUGGACAAUGGGGGCAACCCGGAUGCAGCCAUGCCGCGUGCGGGAAGAAGGCCUUCGGGUUGUAAGCCGCUUUUGUUCGGGAGGAAAUCCUUUGGGCUAAUACCCCGGGGGGAUGACGGUACCGGAAGAAUAAGCACCGGCUAACUACGUG